CUUCCGAAACUACCCCUGCCCGCCGUCGUACGCAAACGCCACAGAACAUCCGGGCAAAGGAUAUUACCGGCAUUACUGGAAAUUCUAUAAAACCUCUCCCUUCAAAAGUUCAAAACCCAGAGCAACUUCAGAAGUCCAAAACCCUAGCCCCAAAUUCAACUCAUUUGUUUUUCCUCUCAAGAAGAAGAUUUAAUGGCGGAUAAAACGAUUUCUCUGGACGGUAUCAAGGCCUUUUGGAACUCCCAGGUUCACGAUCCUGCUAAGUGGGAUCACAACGUGAAAUUACUCCGUGCAGUAGGUAUUUUCGCUGGAUCUAUUGUGUUGAUGCGCCAGUAUGGUGAUAUGAUGGGCAUUUGAGAGAUCGGGCAAGGAGUUUGAGCUUCUUGUUGGUAGGAUGGAGUAGUUGGACGCAUGUUUGCUUUAUCUUCAGUUUACCCCUCUGCUUAUGAUCUUUGAAUGGAUCGCCUUUUAGACUAGCAAAUCCAUGGAAGAAGUACUUAUACACUUGUAAAAUUUUGAUUCAAGUCUACUGGGGUUUUAUGUGACAUGGUAGUAUUUUCCUAGCAUAUAUGUCCUCCAUCCAAAGAGAAUGAGCAAAACCAAAUUUUCUACUA